ensembl:lncRNA
AUUUCGUUGUUUUAUACACACAACACUCACAUUCCAUUUUUCUAUAUACACAGUUGUGCUUGCAAAAGAGGUAACCUGUACAAAAUAAAGUCAUUCACAUUUUUCAAAAGUUAUGGUUUUGAUUGUAAUGUACCUACACCGAUCUGGUAUAACAUUAUGACCACUAACAGGUGAGGAAAUAACACUGAUUAUCUCUUCAGCAUGGCACCUCUUACUGGGUGGGAUAUAUUAGGGAGCAAGUGAACAUUUUGUCUUCAAAUUACAUGUGUUCAAAGCAGGAAAAAAGGGCAAGCGUAAGGCUCUGAGCAAGUGUCACAAGGGCAAACUAGGCGACUGGAUCAGAGCACCUCGAAACCCCUGCUCCCAGCCUUUGUUCCCAGUCAAUGGUCAGUAUCUAUCAAAAGUGGACUAAGGAAGGAACAGUGGUGAACCAGUCACAGGGUCAUUAAAGGCCAAAGGCUGGUGCUUGUGGUCUGGUCCAACAGAUGAGCUACUGUAGCUCAAAUUGCCAAAAAAGGUAAUAUUGGUACUCAUGGAAAAGUGUCAGAAUACACAGUGCACUGCAGCUGAAAAACGGGCAAACGUAAUAUAGGCAGGUAGUCAUAAUGUUACACCUGAUCAAUGUAGUCUCUACAAGCAUAGGUGCUACACAUUAAAUGAUAUCUAUUCAGAAAAACAAAACAAAACACUGGAGCAACUUGUUAACCCCUUAUCCAAAUCAGGCUGAGCUGUGGGGGGAGGGGUUCAAGAAUGUCUACUGCAGAGUCAGCACAUAGAGACAGAAAGCCAUUCACACUCACACCUUUGGGCAACUUUUAGUCUCCAGUUAACCUAAUAUGGAUGAGGGAGAUGUUUUUUCUUCUUUCUGACUUAUCCGUUCUUAUUUUUAUUAAGGCCCUUUUCAAAUUAGAGGUGUGGACUGCCAGUGUGGGCAGCUCCAACCUCCGGGAGUUUAAACUUGGCUCAUGUAUACUGCUUUUGAAUAAUUUUUUUAAGCACUGUACUUCUCUUUCAUGACCUUUAAGCUUUCUGUUUAUGCACUUUGCCAGCUGAUGAACUGAAUAGGUUAUGUGCAAUAGCAGUGCACUGUUUGCUCUUUUAGAUUUUAUUUAGAUGGAAAAAAUAAUUUCUCAGGAAAUUACCUCCUACAUCAGUGUCUGGAGUUAAACCGUUUGUUGAUCUAAAUAGGACACUUUUGUGAGUUGUGGUUGUUUUUUUGUUGUUUUUUUUAUGCAUCUACGCCACUUCACACCAGAGACCACAGACAAGGGAAGUAGUGGAGAUACAGUUGCUUGUUGUGGGGACUAGCCAUCUGUGGUGGAAUUCCCCCGCCCUGGGAAACAAGUAUAACGCACCAUUUAAGUUGCAGUGAGGAUUGCAGAGAGACUACACUGGUGAGUAAUUGGUGGCACCCUUGGGCACUCCUCUCUGUAGGUUGCCUCCCCAAGUGCCGAUCUCCACCAUUUUGAUUAACUAUUUUAUUGAGCUGCUAUUGUAACCAGGGCAGCAUCGUGGCAGCAAACCUUGUUCUUUUUAGUAAUGUUUGC